AACUUUUAGCAAUGGAUCUCUUGGCUCUCGCAUCGAUGAAGAACGCGGCGAGAUGCGAUAAGUAAUGUGAAUUGCAGAAUUCAGUGAAUCAUCGAAUCUGUGAACGCACCUUGCGCUCCUUGGUAUUCCGAGGAGCAUGCCUGUUUGAGUGUCAUUAAAGUCUCAACCCCUCCAGCUUUUGCGAGUUGUGAUGGGGCUUGGAUGUUGGGAGUUUGCGGGUCUUUAUUAAUAAAGGUCGGCUCUCCUGAAAUACAUUAGCGGAAUCGUUUGCAGUCCCGUCACUAGUGUGAUAAUUAUCUACACUGUGAUGAUUGCUCUCUGACUAGUUCAGCUGCUAAUCGUCCACUAUGGACAACACUUAAUGAAAUUCUUGACCUUAAAUCAGGUAGGACUACCCGCUGAACUUAAGCAUAUCAAUAAGCGGAGGCU
rnacentral:misc_RNA from 1 species